rnacentral:rRNA from 1 species
UACGAAGGGUGCAAACGUUGCUCGGAAUUAUUGGGCGUAAAGCGCACGUAGGCGGCUUAGCAAGUCGGAAGUGAAAUCCCACGGCUCAACCAUGGAAGUGCUUUCGAAACUGCUGAGCUUGAGUACAAAAGAGGAUCGCGGAAUUCCCGGUGUAGAGGUGAAAUUCGUAGAUAUUAGGAAGAACACCGGUGGCGAAGGCGGCCCACUGGCUCGAUACUGACGCUGAGGUGCGAAAGCGUGGGGAGCAAACAGG